rnacentral:tRNA from 1 species
GAGGGCAUAGCUCAGUGGUAGAGUGCAUGCUUAGCACGCACGAGGUCCUGGGUUCAACCUCCAAUACCUCCA